rnacentral:pre_miRNA from 1 species
UUUUUAGUGUAAGUAUGUCCUAUGCAAUAUUUGGGACAUAAUUUUGCUUAAA